rnacentral:rRNA from 1 species
UGCAAGUCGAACGGAAAGGCCCUUCGGGGUACUCGAGUGGCGAACGGGUGAGUAACACGUGGGUGAUCUGCCCUGCACUUUGGGAUAAGCCUGGGAAACUGGGUCUAAUACCGAAUAUACCUCUUGGAUUGCAUGAUUCUUGGGGGAAAGCUUUUGCGGUGUGGGAUGGGCCCGCGGCCUAUCAGCUUGUUGGUGGGGUGAUGGCCUACCAAGGCGACGACGGGUAGCCGGCCUGAGAGGGUGACCGGCCACACUGGGACUGAGAUACGGCCCAGACUCCUACGGGAGGCAGCAGUGGGGAAUAUUGCACAAUGGGCGCAAGCCUGAUGCAGCGACGCCGCGUGGGGGAUGACGGCCUUCGGGUUGUAAACCUCUUUCAGUAGGGACGAAGCGCAAGUGACGGUACCUACAGAAGAAGGACCGGCCAACUACGUGCCAGCAGCCGCGGUAAUACGUAGGGUCCGAGCGUUGUCCGGAAUUACUGGGCGUAAAGAGCUCGUAGGUGGUUUGUCGCGUUGUUCGUGAAAACCGGGGGCUUAACCCUCGGCGUGCGGGCGAUACGGGCAGACUAGAGUACUGCAGGGGAGACUGGAAUUCCUGGUGUAGCGGUGGAAUGCGCAGAUAUCAGGAGGAACACCGGUGGCGAAGGCGGGUCUCUGGGCAGUAACUGACGCUGAGGAGCGAAAGCGUGGGGAGCGAACAGGAUUAGAUACCCUGGUAGUCCACGCCGUAAACGGUGGGUACUAGGUGUGGGUUUCCUUCCUUGGGAUCCGUGCCGUAGCUAACGCAUUAAGUACCCCGCCUGGGGAGUACGGCCGCAAGGCUAAAACUCAAAGGAAUUGACGGGGGCCCGCACAAGCGGCGGAGCAUGUGGAUUAAUUCGAUGCAACGCGAAGAACCUUACCUGGGUUUGACAUGCACAGGACGCCAGUAGAGAUAUUGGUUCCCUUGUGGCCUGUGUGCAGGUGGUGCAUGGCUGUCGUCAGCUCGUGUCGUGAGAUGUUGGGUUAAGUCCCGCAACGAGCGCAACCCUUGUCUCAUGUUGCCAGCACGUUAUGGUGGGGACUCGUGAGAGACUGCCGGGGUCAACUCGGAGGAAGGUGGGGAUGACGUCAAGUCAUCAUGCCCCUUAUGUCCAGGGCUUCACACAUGCUACAAUGGCCGGUACAAAGGGCUGCGAUGCCGUGAGGUGGAGCGAAUCCUUUCAAAGCCGGUCUCAGUUCGGAUCGGGGUCUGCAACUCGACCCCGUGAAGUCGGAGUCGCUAGUAAUCGCAGAUCAGCAACGCUGCGGUGAAUACGUUCCCGGGCCUUGUACACACCGCCCGUCACGUCAUGAAAGUCGGUAACACCCGAAGCCGGUGGCCUAACCCCUUGUGGGU